GGCCUCAUCGUCUAGCGGCUAGGACGCGGCCCUCUCAAGGCCGAGGCCGGGGUUCGAUUCCCCGUGGGGCUA
rnacentral:tRNA from 1 species